AAUCAACGCUGGCGGCGUGCCUAACACAUGCAAGUCGAACGCGAAAGCCCCUUCGGGGGCAAGUAGAGUGGCGUCCGGGUGAGUAACACGUGGGUAAUCUACCUCCGGGUGGGGAAUAACUCGCCGAAAGGCGGGCUAAUACCGCAUAAUGCAGCGGCACCGAAUGGUGAUUAGUUGUUAAAGCGGGGGGACCUUAGGGCCUCGCGUCUGGAGAGGAGCCUGCGGCAGAUUAGCUUGUUGGUAGGGAAUGGCCUACCAAGGCUGCGAUCUGUAGCUGGUCUGAGAGGACGGCCAGCCACACUGGCACUGACACACGGGCCAGACUCCUACGGGAGGCAGCAGUGGGGAAUUUUGGGCAAUGGGCGAAAGCCUGACCCAGCAACGCCGCGUGAA
rnacentral:rRNA from 1 species